GUCUAUUCAGCAGUCUGAUAGUCUGGAGGUAGUAACUAGUAGUGUCUAUUCAGCAGUCUGAUGGUCUAGAGGUAUUAACUAGUAGUGUUUAUUCAACAGUCUGAUGGUCUGGGAGGUAGUAACUAGUAGUGUUUAUUCAGCAGUCUGAUGGUCUGGGAGGUAAUAACUAGUAGUGUCUAUUCAGCAGUCUGAUAGUCUGGGAGGUAGUAACUAGUAGUGUCUAUUCUGCAGUCUGAUGGUCUGGAGGUAGUAACUAGUAGUGUCUAUUCAGCAGUCUGAUAGUCUGGGAGGUAAUAACUAGUAGUGUCUAUUCAGCAGUCUGAUAGUCUGGAGGUAGUAACUAGUAGUGUCUAUUCAGCAGUCUGAUAGUCUGGAGGAAGUAACUAGUAGUGUCUAUUCAGCAGUCUGAUAGUCUGGGA
rnacentral:lncRNA from 1 species